AUCCAGCUGACGAGUCUCAAACAGGACGAAACGCGCAUCCUGGAU
rnacentral:hammerhead_ribozyme from 1 species